CUAAGAAUCACCUGGAGAGCCUGUCAAAAGGCAGAUUCUGACUCAGCAGGUCAGGGGUGGGGCCUAGGAGUCUGCACUUCUAACAAGUUCCCAAGUGAUACCUAU
rnacentral:pre_miRNA from 1 species